UUACCUCAGUAACGGCGAGUGAAGCGGUAACAGCUCAAAUUUGAAAUCUGGCUCUUUCAGGGUCCGAGUUGUAAUUUGUAGAGGAUGUUUCGGGUGUGGCUCCGGUCUAAGUUCCUUGGAACAGGACGUCAUAGAGGGUGAGAAUCCCGUAUGUGACUGGUUGCCUACGCCCAUGUGAAACUCCUUCGACGAGUCGAGUUGUUUGGGAAUGCAGCUCAAAAUGGGUGGUAAAUUUCAUCUAAAGCUAAAUAUUGGCCAGAGACCGAUAGCGCACAAGUAGAGUGAUCGAAAGAUGAAAAGCACUUUGGAAAGAGAGUUAAACAGUACGUGAAAUUGUUGAAAGGGAAGCGCUUGCAACCAGACUUGCACUUGGUCGAUCAUCCUCUGUUCUCAGUGGUGCACUCGAUCUCGUUCAGGCCAGCAUCGGUUUCGGUGGUUAGAUAAAGGCCUUAGGAAUGUAGCUUCCCUCGGGGAGUGUUAUAGCCUAGGGUGCAAUGUAGCCUACCGGGACCGAGGACCGCGCUUCGGCUAGGAUGCUGGCGUAAUGGUUGUAAGCGACCCGUCUUGAAACACGGACCAAGGAGUCUAACAUCUAUGCGAGUGUUUGGGUGUCAAACCCAUACGCGUAAUGAAAGUGAACGUAGGUGUGAACCCUUAAGGGUGCAACAUCGACCGAUCUUGAUGUCUUCGGAUGGAUUUGAGUAAGAGCAUAGCUGUUGGGACCCGAAAGAUGGUGAACUAUGCCUGAAUAGGGUGAAGCCAGAGGA
rnacentral:rRNA from 1 species